rnacentral:rRNA from 1 species
GACGAACGCUGGCGGCGUGCUUAACACAUGCAAGUCGAGCGGUAAGGCCCUUUCGGGGGUACACGAGCGGCGAACGGGUGAGUAACACGUGGGUGACCUGCCCUCAGCUCUGGGAUAAGCCUGGGAAACCGGGCCUAAUACUGGAUAUGACUCCAUGACGCAUGUUGUGGGGUGGAAAGCCUUGUGCGGCUGAGGAUGGGCCCGCGGCCUAUCAGCUUGUUGGUGGGGUGAGGCCUACCAAGGCGACGACGGGUAGCCGGCCUGAGAGGGCGACCGGCCACACUGGGACUGAGACACGGCCCAGACUCCUACGGGAGGCAGCAGUGGGGAAUCUUGCGCAAUGGGCGAAAGCCUGACGCAGCGACGCCGCGUGAGGGAUGACGGCCU